rnacentral:lncRNA from 1 species
GGGCCGUGCCAACCCCGCUGCCUGUUCCCCUCUUCAUUACACGGGCCCAACUGCAACCACAGGCCCACGGCAGCAUCCCCUUGGCAUCCAUUGCAGCCUUGCAAUAAUUUGGCUUCAGCAAUCAGCUCCACUGAGUCCCUUGUGCUGCAGAUCCAGACCCAUCGCUUCAGCUAGCUCCACCCGGUGCCGACUUCGUGUUCGAGACUCCACAACGGAUGCUUCUGGUUGACUGCAUCCACCACAGGUAACAGGUUCUUCCUCCUUUUGGGCUUGUCUAUCUAAUUGUGUUCUAGUUCUCUUGCAUGACAACCAUAAUUGAAAACUUACUUUCCUGUCAUAUUUUGAAAUCCUGAACAUAUAUUACCACACCCGUCCUAUUCACCCUCUAAAUCUAGAUAUUAAAUUAGCACACCCUAGCGGCAGGAUAGUUCUCAACAUUCCUAGAUCAGAUUACUUUCGGACUUUGAACGACUGUAAUACGUGUUUGCAACCUAAUUUCUUAUAGUGACUAAUUUCCUGCCUUAAUUCUGAAAUAACCAAAGUGCAAAUUAGUAAUAUUUAAUUUUAAGUUAUUUUUGUGAAAAUUUGCUGAUUUCCGAAUUCAUAGUAGAUUGCAUUAGUAGGUUGUCCUGCAUUGCAUUUAGUAAGUUAGGGUUCAUUAGUAGCAUUG